GAUGAUGGCGCUAGGCCCGUGCUGCACUGUUCCUGUCCUUGAGCCCAGGCCCUGAGGUGAGCCUGAGAACUGUGCCGGAGGUGAGCCCAGAGCUGUCCCUGAGGUAAGCCUGAGAAUAAGUGCAAGGCAGACGUGCUGCUGAGGAUGGGCAGCCCCAUGGUGGGGAAGAGGUAAAGCUGUGAGUGCCCAGCCCCAAGAAGGUGCUGUCUCCAGCCCCUGUGUGCCAGGACACUUCCCCCAAAAUUUUCGAGGGGGCCUUUUGUGUCUAUUCCUGGUUGCUGAUUCCUGCUGGGGACCUGAGGGGGCCUCUGCAAUCCCAUGCAUGGGGCACAAUCUCCUCUCCAGAACUUGACUCACUGCAGACUUUGCAGGGAAAUCUGUGCUGGCAGUCCGAGUAUGUCACGACCCCCCGUGCUCCCCCCAGGAUAUUUGGGAUGAGUUCCCCCUUCCCGGCCCCCUGCAGGAUGGGGGGGUGAUUGUUCUCCUGCUGUUGCUGUUGCUGCUCCACCCCUGUCCCUGCCCUUCCUGCCGCUGUCGGGUGAGCAGAGUGGCCACGAUGGGAAAGGGGCGAGAGAAGGGAAAAGAGCAGGUGGGACCCUCAAAGGGAGCGUGAGGGGUGGUGGGUCACCCCCAAAGGG